GCACAUUAUUUUUCGAAAUAACUUUACAAUUAUUCUCUUUUACUUCCAAUAUGACAUGAAAAAGUUGAAAAGGUUAAAAGUUAAAGGUGAGAGGAUUAAAUCCUGAUACCCGAAACGACUAACCCAGAUACUAUACACUCUAAAGACCUUGUUGAUGAAUAUAGGAACGGACGGCGCGACGAUUCGCUUCACCUUCUUCCCCAUAUUCGAAAUGAAAUCAACAAAGACCUUGUUGGUGGCUAUAGGCUCGGUGUUCACCUCUUCCCAUCCCGAACAGAGAAGUUAAGCCCGAGACCGCCGAUGAUACUUGGAUCACACCUGGUAAAGUAGGUAGCCGCCACAA
rnacentral:rRNA from 1 species